UUUGGGCUUAAUGGGCCAAAAUUGGAAUGAUGGGCCAACGGGCCCAAUUCGGAAAUCCCCAACCAUAGUGGGCUUGGAGCUGUGAGGGAAUUCGGAGUGGCCACCCGUUCUGAAAGUUUGAUUUUCUUCUGGUGAACUGGACAUCCUUUUAUUUACGUUUCAAGUUUUUGGGCUUUUAAAUGUAAUAAGGCCGCUUAAUUAUUUUUAUGGUUUUAAUAUGUAUUACUAAGAUAGGUAAUACUUAUAUUUAACUGUUGAAAUUGGAUAGCUUUAGGGCGCGUUUUCAAAAACAACAGUUGAUUUCAAAAUAACACGACAACAAGCAAAGCUUCCGCAAUGAAA